GUUUGAUCCUGGCUCAGGAUGAACGCUGGCGGCGUGCUUAACACAUGCAAGUCGAACGGUGAACACGGAGCUUGCUCUGUGGGAUCAGUGGCGAACGGGUGAGUAACACGUGAGCAACCUGCCCCUGACUCUGGGAUAAGCGCUGGAAACGGCGUCUAAUACUGGAUAUGUGACGUGACCGCAUGGUCUGCGUUUGGAAAGAUUUUUCGGUUGGGGAUGGGCUCGCGGCCUAUCAGCUUGUUGGUGAGGUAAUGGCUCACCAAGGCGUCGACGGGUAGCCGGCCUGAGAGGGUGACCGGCCACACUGGGACUGAGACACGGCCCAGACUCCUACGGGAGGCAGCAGUGGGGAAUAUUGCACAAUGGGCGCAAGCCUGAUGCAGCAACGCCGCGUGAGGGAUGACGGCCUUCGGGUUGUAAACCUCUUUUAGCAGGGAAGAAGCGCAAGUGACGGUACCUGCAGAAGAAGCACCGGCUAACUACGUGCCAGCAGCCGCGGUAAUACGUAGGGUGCGAGCGUUGUCCGGAAUUAUUGGGCGUAAAGAGCUUGUAGGCGGUUUGUCGCGUCUGCUGUGAAAAUCCGAGGCUCAACCUCGGACUUGCAGUGGGUACGGGCAGACUAGAGUGUGGUAGGGGAGACUGGAAUUCCUGGUGUAGCGGUGAAAUGCGCAGAUAUCAGGAGGAACACCGAUGGCGAAGGCAGGUCUCUGGGCCACUACUGACGCUGAGAAGCGAAAGCAUGGGGAGCGAACAGGAUUAGAUACCCUGGUAGUCCAUGCCGUAAACGUUGGGAACUAGGUGUGGGUCUCAUUCCACGAGAUCCGUGCCGCAGCUAACGCAUUAAGUUCCCCGCCUGGGGAGUACGGCCGCAAGGCUAAAACUCAAAGGAAUUGACGG
rnacentral:rRNA from 1 species